rnacentral:rRNA from 1 species
UACGAAGGGGGCUAGCGUUGUUCGGAUUUACUGGGCGUAAAGGGCGCGUAGGCGGAUUUUUAAGUCAGGGGUGAAAUCCCAAGGCUCAACCCUUGGAACUGCCUUUGAUACUGGGAAUCUUGAGUCCGGGAGAGGUGAGUGGAACUGGCGAGUGUAGAGGUGAAAUUCGUAGAUAUUCGCAAGAACACCAGUGGCGAAGGCGGCUCACUGGCCCGGAACGUGACGCUGAGGCGCGAAAGCGUGGGGAGCAAACAGGG